rnacentral:rRNA from 1 species
UACGUAGGGGGCAAGCGUUGUCCGGAAUCAUUGGGCGUAAAGAGCGUGUAGGCGGCCCGAUAAGUCCGCCGUGAAAGUCCAGGGCUCAACCCUGGAAUGCCGGUGGAAACUGUCGGGCUGGAGUCCGGAAGAGGCGAGUGGAAUUCCUGGUGUAGCGGUGAAAUGCGCAGAUAUCAGGAGGAACACCAAUGGCGAAGGCAGCUCGCUGGGACGGUACUGACGCUGAGACGCGAAAGCCAGGGGAGCAAACGGG